GCGGCCUAUCAGCUUGUUGGUGAGGUAAUGGCUCACCAAGGCGACGACGGGUAGCCGGCCUGAGAGGGCGACCGGCCACACUGGGACUGAGACACGGCCCAGACUCCUACGGGAGGCAGCAGUGGGGAAUAUUGGGCAAUGGAGGAAACUCUGACCCAGCGACGCCGCGUGAGGGAUGAAGGCCUUCGGGUUAUAAACCUCUUUCAGUAGGGAAGAAGCGAAAGUGACGGUACCUACAGAAGAAGCACCGGCUAACUAUGUGCCAGCAGCCGCGGUAAUACAUAGGGUGCAAGCGUUGUCCGGAAUUAUUGGGCGUAAAGAGCUCGUAGGUGGUUCGAUACGUCGGAUGUGAAAAUCAGGGGCUCAACCCCUGACCUGCAUCCGAUACGGUCGAGCUGGAGCUUGGUAGGGGAGACUGGAAUUCCU
rnacentral:rRNA from 1 species